rnacentral:lncRNA from 1 species
UAUAGACAGUCUUGGAGAGAGUAUGAAUCAAAGCACCUUGGCUCCUUCUCUGGCUAAGGAGAGGCAGGAAACCCAGGCCAGAACGACCAGAGUUGGCAUCAUUUUGAGUCCUGAAGAAAGAAGCAGAGGAGAAGCAGAAAUGACUACCUCCUUUGAAAGCCAAGCAUGUGGCCUGACAACCUAGAAUUUGGGUCAAACCAUCCAAUUAUGGUAACUGCUUAGAAAUAUCCCUUUUCCUCCCAAACUCUCCCUUUCUUCUCCCACCAACAUAACUACGGUUUCUGUCAGUUCUAAGACAUGGCCCAUGAAUGCACUAAUACCAACGUUCACAUUCACUCCUGUGGCCAAGUGACUUGGUUCUGUCUGGUUAUCAGAUGCAAACUUUGUCAUAGCAGGGACUUAGACUAGACAUUAGGGGAAUAUUGUGGUACCAGAUGGUGUUUCUGAAGAAGGUUGUCCUAUUUUUGCAGUUCUAGGAUUUGACAAUAAAUCUGCCUAGCAGGCCUCAGAUGUGAUUUGGCCUCAAAAUGGUCUCUGUUAAUCCUUGAUGCUGCGUGUAUCUGUCAGGGUCC